GAUGAACGCUGGCGGCGUGCCUAAUACAUGCAAGUCGAGCGAACAGACGAGGAGCUUGCUCCUCUGACGUUAGCGGCGGACGGGUGAGUAACACGUGGAUAACCUACCUAUAAGACUGGGAUAACUUCGGGAAACCGGAGCUAAUACCGGAUAAUAUAUUGAACCGCAUGGUUCAAUAGUGAAAUACGGUUUUGCUGUCACUUAUAGAUGGAUCCGCGCCGCAUUAGCUAGUUGGUAAGGUAACGGCGUACCAAGGGUACGAUGCGUAGCCGACGUGCGAGGCGGAUAGGCCACAUUGGAACGGAACCACGGUCCAGACUCCUACGGGAGGCAGCAGUAGGGAAUCGUCCGCAAAGGGCGAAAGCCUGACGGAGCAACGGCGCGUGAGAGAUGAAGGUCCUCGGAUCGUAAAAAUCUGUUAUUAGGGAAGAACAAAUGUGGAAGUAACUAUGCACGUAUUGACGGUAACUAAUCAGAAAGCAACGGCUAACUACGUG
rnacentral:rRNA from 1 species